UUGGCCGCGCGCUUUCUUCCUCGGCUAUAUAAAUGGCAACGGGAUCGACGUUGACGGUAAUGCCGGUUGUGAAUCAUUGCCCGUUUAACCCGACCACUCGGUUUGCCGUAAAAAAAUAAAAAAAGAAAAACUACACGAAAUUUAAAUACCGCGGCCAGUUUUACGAUCGCCUCGUUAACGAAACCCUUGUAACCGCGCUCGAGCCACGUUUUGUUUUUCUCGACGAACGAAUAUCGAUUAUGAAUCGUCGCGACGUAAUCUGCGAUGUUUAACCCUGGCACACCGCUGUGGAUGGAAAUCGUUUCUGAUAUUCGGAGUAUAAUUGACGACUAAUUUUUCUGUUCUACGAUCCUUGGGAUUUUAUUUUAUUUAUAUCUAAACGGAGAUUGAAGAUAGAUAUCCAAAUAUUUCAAAUACCUAUCAGUGUACUUGCAAUGGAUAAUUACGAGAAAGGGUUCCUAUCCUUAAACUAGGCGAAAAGAGUGAAAACGCGUGGAACAUUGUUGUUCUCGCGACGCUAACAAGGGUCAGUCGCGACGAGAAGACGUCGAUCAUCCGGGACGAGAGUCGGAGAGGAAGGUCAGACAGUGAGAGACAGAUAGAGGCGGUAAGAAAAUAAAGAAAUCCUUGUAAUCCUGGAAAGCUAAGCCGACAAGGAGCAGGAUCAUCCUGACGGUGUACACAGGGAAGGUUCGUUUCGAACAAACAGCGCGAAGUCAAACGAAACUACUCGAGUGAACCGAGCACGCGGUACAUAAAGGACCAACAAUGCAGGACGAUACACAGCUGGCUUGUAAAACACAGAGAUCCUGUGAAGAUACAAGAAUAGCCUGGCUACCGCAUACCUUAGGGUGGUCUCCUCGGCCAUCCUGUUUUUCGCCAAACCAUUUCUAUGGACACCGUAGUCCUCGUUCAACUUACGCAUCGAUGUAUUUCCCACGCAAUUUUAAUCGCAAAGCAAGAAUAAAAUAAGUACAAUUUGUGAGACUUGAAUUCGGUUGCAACUUGUGGGCAGAUUUGAAAAGAGGAUAAAUAAGGGUAUUUUAAAACGAAAGCAUUAAAAAUAUUAGUUUCUCGGUAUUGAAGAUCAGAGGGAAGGUUUCGAGACGUUGCUCCGUCAUCGCGGUCAUCCUCGUGGAAAACUAGAAAGGAUCGUUUCUUUGGCUUGGCGACAAAGUCGUCCUCGUCGUCGCGUAUCCAAGGACCCAGUAGGGUUGCGCUUAAUCCGCAGAAGCAACAAACAACGAUCUCGAGGAUAGAGCCCCGAGAAGAAAACUCGGAUGAUCGGUUACUUGGCUCGAAAGGGCUUUUCACGGCUGCCAGGCUCGAGCUAAUCCAAAAGCGAAUAAUACGAAAUCGCUUGCAAGCCGUCGAAUCAAGAUGGAACGAGUCGCGGUAAUACCGAUGGCACUAAUCUUCUUAGAAAGGUUUGCCAAAACUCGGUGUUGCUUAACAGGUUCCUUCUUAGCCCCCUUUUCACGAUCCCACGUUCAAGCCCAUUUCCUUUACGAGAUGCUUCAAUGAAGAGAAACCGUCGACUUGCAGUGUAAAUAAUUAACGAACGCGAACACGAUUGCACAUAUUUUAAGCUUCCGACGAUUCAAUCGAGAACAUCGCGGUUACCUUUAUGGUUUACGAUGAAGUGUCAUGAGUUUUUCUUUGAAUAGACAGUCUCGAUGAAUGAAACAUCAUCGAGCGAACAGCAACAAGGUUAGCUGGUUUUUGUAACGCGUCUGCUUCAGCUAGUGAUAAUUUACAACAGAGAACACCUGUCAUCGAAAAAGAAAUGCUUGGCAAGAAGCUCGAAGGGAUGAAGGGAGUCGAGAAAGGGGAGAGAAAACGGAGACAGAGGGAGCGGUUAGGACCUGACGCCGUCCAAACAUUCUAGCGUCCAUCGCAGGACUAUAAUUUGGUCCUCGAAGGAGCCACGCCCACGCGUAUACGUUACCCUGCUAUCAAGAUCUCCAGGUUCCGAUAAAACUUGUCAAUGUAUAUAGCAGCGUCGGGAAGCGCGGAAUAGCAAAGAUGAGAGCCAAGAUAAGGAAUUGUGACCAAGAAAAUAGGAGGACCUAUAGACGGAAUGGCACCCGGAUUCGACCCCUGUGGAUUACCAAACGAUUUCCACUUUAAAUCGAAUGACGCUCCUUUUUGUGUACCUGAUUCACCAGUUAGCUACUCAAAUAAUAAAGAAAUCCGAGAUUUUAAAUACA